rnacentral:rRNA from 1 species
AUUGAACGCUGGCGGCAUGCCUUACACAUGCAAGUCGAACGGUAACGGGCCUUCGGGUGCCGACGAGUGGCGAACGGGUGAGUAAUGCAUCGGAACGUACCUUUCAGUGGGGGAUAACGUAGCGAAAGUUACGCUAAUACCGCAUAUUCUGUGAGCAGGAAAGCAGGGGAUCGCAAGACCUUGCGCUGAUUGAGCGGCCGAUGUCAAAUUAGCUAGUUGGUGAGGUAAAGGCUCACCAAGGCGACGAUCUGUAGCGGGUCUGAGAGGAUGACCCGCCACACUGGAACUGAGACACGGUCCAGACUCCUACGGGAGGCAGCAGUGGGGAAUUUUGGACAAUGGGGGCAACCCUGAUCCAGCCAUGCCGCGUGAGUGAAGAAGGCCUUCGGGUUGUAAAGCUCUUUCGGUCGGGAAGAAAUCGCAUGGGUUAAUACCCUGUGCGGAUGACGGUACCGGCAUAAGAAGCACCGGCUAACUACGUGCCAGCCGCCGCAGUAAGAC